rnacentral:rRNA from 1 species
GAGUUUGAUCGUGGCUCAGAACGAACGCUGGCGGCAUGCCUAACACAUGCAAGUCGAACGAGACCUUCGGGUCUAGUGGCGCACGGGUGCGUAACGCGUGGGAAUCUGCCCAAAGGUUCGGAAUAACUCAGGGAAACUUGAGCUAAUACCGAAUAAUGUCUUCGGACCAAAGAUUUAUUGCCUUUGGAUGAGCCCGCGUCGGAUUAGCUAGUUGGUGAGGUAAAGGCUCACCAAGGCGACGAUCCGUAGCUGGUCUGAGAGGAUGAUCAGCCACACUGGGACUGAGACACGGCCCAGACUCCUACGGGAGGCAGCAGUGGGGAAUAUUGGACAAUGGGCGAAAGCCUGAUCCAGCAAUGCCGCGUGAGUGAUGAAGGCCUUAGGGUUGUAAAGCUCUUUUACCCGGGAUGAUAAUGACAGUACCGGGAGAAUAAGCUCCGGCUAACUCCGUGCCAGCAGCCGCCGU